rnacentral:rRNA from 1 species
UACGUAGGGCGCAAGCGUUGUCCGGAAUUAUUGGGCGUAAAGAGCUCGUAGGCGGCUUGUCACGUCAAUUGUGAAAACCCGAGGCUCAACCUCGGGCCUGCAGUCGAUACGGGCAAACUAGAGUACUGCAGGGGAGACUGGAAUUCCUGGUGUAGCGGUGAAAUGCGCAGAUAUCAGGAGGAACACCUGUGGCGAAAGCGGCGCACUGGACCACAACUGACGCUGAGGCGCGAAAGCUAGGGGAGCAAACAGG